AUUAUUAUUUUAACAAAUUUGACUAAGAGUUUAUUUUCUAAACUUUUCAGAAAGCAUUUCAUAAGUAUCAUUCACCAAUUCAAAUUCAUAUUGAACAGCUGGUAGCAUAUGCUCAUAAAAAUGGAUUUGGAGAUCCAUUUUUUAGACGUCUAAAGUUAAUUGUAUGAUUGAUACUUAUGAGACCAUACCUUAUAAACUCUAUUUUGGUUAUGAGAUAAUGCCUUAUAAACUCAAUUUUGGGAAUCAAUAAUUUUGUAUAUUGAGAUAAUGAUAUGCAUCAAGCCAACACAUUACUAUAUGUAAGUUCUCCCCUUAAUUUAUCAUUGGGAAAAUAUAUUUGAUAUAAAUCUCCAUCUAUCAUUAAUUGUAUUGAGCCAACUUGUUUACAGCCUAGUAGGCUGAUUAUCAAUUGAUGGUUUGGUUUUCCCAAUAUUAGGGGGAGAUGGUAAGCAGCUAAAAAUUGUGAACCUGAUGUUCAAAUAAAUUAUUUGAAAGGAAAUAUUAUUGUCUCUUCUUGAUCCUCAAGAUAUAACUCAUUUGCAAAG
rnacentral:lncRNA from 1 species